rnacentral:rRNA from 1 species
UACGUAGGGGGCAAGCGUUGUCCGGAAUUAUUGGGCGUAAAGAGCGUGUAGGCGGUCCGGUAAGUCAGCUGUGAAAGUCAAGGGCUCAACCCUUGAAAGCCGGUUGAUACUGUCGGGCUAGAGUCCGGAAGAGGCGAGUGGAAUUCCCGGUGUAGCGGUGAAAUGCGCAGAUAUCGGGAGGAACACCAAUGGCGAAGGCAGCUCGCUGGGACGGUACUGACGCUGAGACGCGAAAGCGUGGGGAGCAAGCAGG